rnacentral:rRNA from 1 species
UACGGAGGGUGCAAGCGUUAUCCGGAUUUACUGGGUUUAAAGGGUGCGUAGGUGGGUCUGUAAGUCAGUGGUGAAAUCUCCGAGCUUAACUCGGAAACUGCCAUUGAUACUAUAGAUCUUGAAUUAUCUGGAGGUAAGCGGAAUAUGUCAUGUAGCGGUGAAAUGCUUAGAUAUGACAUAGAACACCAAUUGCGAAGGCAGCUCACUAAGCAAAUAUUGACGCUGAGGCACGAAAGCGUGGGGAUCAAACAGG